rnacentral:rRNA from 1 species
CAGCCGCCGCGGUAAUACGUAGGUGGCAAGCGUUGUCCGGAAUUAUUGGGCGUAAAGCGAGCGCAGGCGGUUAGAUAAGUCUGAAGUUAAAGGCUGUGGCUUAACCAUAGUACGCUUUGGAAACUGUUUAACUUGAGUGCAAGAGGGGAGAGUGGAAUUCCAUGUGUAGCGGUGAAAUGCGUAGAUAUAUGGAGGAACACCGGUGGCGAAAGCGGCUCUCUGGCUUGUAACUGACGCUGAGGCUCGAAAGCGUGGGGAGCAAACAGGAUUAGAUACCCGCGUAGUCCCUGUCUCUUAUACA